CCUACGGGAGGCAGCAGUGAGGAAUAUUGGUCAAUGGACGAGAGUCUGAACCAGCCAAGUAGCGUGAAGGAUGACUGCCCUAUGGGUUGUAAACUUCUUUUAUAUGGGAAUAAAAUGUUCCACGUGUGGGAUUUUGUAUGUACCAUAUGAAUAAGGACCGGCUAACUCCGUGCCAGCAGCCGCGGUAAUACGGAGGAUCCGAGCGUUAUCCGGAUUUAUUGGGUUUAAAGGGAGCGUAGGUGGAUUGUUAAGUCAGUUGUGAAAGUUUGCGGCUCAACCGUAAAAUUGCAGUUGAAACUGGCAGUCUUGAGUACAGGAGAGGUGGGCGGAAGUCGUGGUGUAGCGGUGAAAUGCUUAGAUAUCACGAAGAACUCCGAUUGCGAAGGCAGUUCACUGGACUGCAACUGACACUGAGGCUCGAAAGUGUGGGUAUCAAACAGGAGUAGAUACCCUUGUAGUC
rnacentral:rRNA from 1 species